rnacentral:rRNA from 1 species
CCUACGGGGGGCUGCAGUGGGGAAUAUUGGACAAUGGGGGGAACCCUGAUCCAGCCAUGCCGCGUGUGUGAAGAAGGCCCUCGGGUUGUAAAGCACUUUCAGUGAGGAAGAACGCCUGGUGGUUAAUACCCAUCAGGAAAGACAUCACUCACAGAAGAAGCACCGGCUAACUCCGUGCCAGCAGCCGCGGUAAUACGGAGGGUGCGAGCGUUAAUCGGAAUUACUGGGCGUAAAGCGCGCGUAGGUGGCUUGAUAAGCCGGUUGUGAAAGCCCCGGGCUCAACCUGGGAACGGCAUCCGGAACUGUGAAGCUAGAGGGCAGGAGAGGAAGGUAGAAAUCCCGGUGUAGCGGUGAAAUGCGUAGAGAUCGGGAGGAAUACCAGUGGCGAAGGCGGCCUUCUGGACUGACACUGACACUGAGGUGCGAAAGCGUGGGUAGCAAACAGGAUUAGAUACCCUGGUAGUC